rnacentral:tRNA from 1 species
GCUCUAAUAGCUUAAUUUGCUAAAGCACUGGUCUUGUAAACCAGAGACUGAAGUCUCAAAUCUUCUUGGAGCU